rnacentral:rRNA from 1 species
AUUGAACGCUGGCGGCAGGCCUAACACAUGCAAGUCGAGCGGAUGACGGGGGCUUGCUCCUGGAUUCAGCGGCGGACGGGUGAGUAAUGCCUAGGAAUCUGCCUGGUAGUGGGGGACAACGUUUCGAAAGGAACGCUAAUACCGCAUACGUCCUACGGGAGAAAGCAGGGGACCUUCGGGCCUUGCGCUAUCAGAUGAGCCUAGGUCGGAUUAGCUAGUUGGUGAGGUAAUGGCUCACCAAGGCGACGAUCCGUAACUGGUCUGAGAGGAUGAUCAGUCACACUGGAACUGAGACACGGUCCAGACUCCUACGGGAGGCAGCAGUGGGGAAUAUUGGACAAUGGGCGAAAGCCUGAUCCAGCCAUGCCGCGUGUGUGAAGAAGGUCUUCGGAUUGUAAAGCACUUUAAGUUGGGAGGAAGGGCAGUAAGCGAAUACCUUGCUGUUUUGACGUUACCGACAGAAUAAGCACCGGCUAACUCUGUGCCAGCAGCCGCCGUAA